AUUUUUUUGUUGUUGUCAACGAAUAUAAGAUUUAUAAAAAAAAGAGAAAAGAAAAGAGAGAC
rnacentral:sRNA from 1 species